UCGUGUAAGUGUGUGUGUGAGCGAGUGCCCACGUAAAUGGAAAUGUGUGACAGUAAACUCGUGUAAGUGCAUGUGAGCGUGUAAAGUAUAUUCAUUAGCAGCAGCAUGCUCACAUCUCCAGGAAAGGGGCCUUUGUGAUGUAAGCAGACACCCCUGAGGCUGUUUCCCACUUACAGAUGGUCCGUGAUGCUGCCAACACGGGAUAAAACAGAAAGCCCAUGUUCAGGAAGGAUGAGUUUGAUUCUCCAGGGAGGACCUAGCCAUGGCUGGAGCUGUUAACUCUAGAAUUCUUUUUUCAGUGAAUGAGCCUAAUGGUCUUUUCCACUGACGGUGAGCAAUCUCCAAAAAGAAGGUCUAUAAGAGUAAAGGCGACCAAGCAGUGGCAGGGGUCUGAAGCAAUGUGGGAGGUACAGUGUGCCAACGUGCCAGUCCCAGGGUAUGGAGGUUACUGACAGUAUCCGAUCAUACGUGGGGCAAGAAGUCAGAAGAUGGCUCUCAGUUUCCAACUACCCACCACUCCUUGCUCCGCUCAUUCUUAAGUCAUAAGGCCAACAAAAGCUGCCUAGUCUGGAACCUGACACUAAAGAAGGACUUGCUGGUCCAGGUCAGUCUCCACAAUGUAUCUUCUGUUCUCUACAAAGACGGGCUCCAGGCUGUCACGUUUGACUACAAGCUACCAGGAGGGAGCUGUGUUCCACGUCCGCCUGACUGUGAAUCCGUGAACUUGGGGAAGAGCAGCCUGAGCACUGAAUGUCCCUGGGACUUGGCAAGAGGAGUGAUAAUGAGGUGAAGAAGCAUCCAUUUGUGUGGGGUUCCCUCCAGAUCCUGUGAAGAGGGAGCGGCUAUUUCGGAGGUAGAUGCAUGGUUCUGCCGAUGCCGAUGCCGGGAAAGAAAUGAAGAUUCUCCUGCAGGAAUCUCUGAGGAGGCUCUGGCUUCACAUAGGGGCUAGAGCAACAACAAUUCCAGCAACUGCUGAAGUCAAGAGGCUACAGGCCAGCCUACCCUCCUGUCUCCCAUGUCCCUCCUCCAGCAGCUGGUCAACAAGGCUCUGAGGACAGAGAAUAGAAGUAGCUACCUUGUCACAGAGUGGGCAAUGACACCUCUUGGGUGGACUCUGUGGGACCUUGGGAGGCUCUCACAGCCACCCUGAGCCUGUGUCUUCACCUAUGACGAUGAACUCAGUGGGGGUCUAAGGUGUGGACAGCCACAAAUGCCAGGUUGACAGGACAUUGCCAUCUGUGGGACCUUGGACUCUUGCCUCUGCUGCAAGGAGGGAAUGGCGCUGUCUUUGUGAGUGACUCCAGCACUCAGCCCCAUGCUGGGUUGUGUGGCCAGUGACAAUGCCCCUUUCUCAGUCUCCACCCACAGGGACAAGAGCCAGGAGCCCCAUGUUCCUCAUAUUCUCUCUCUUCAGCCAGAAGACAGUGCAGAAGAGGUGACAGAACUGGCCCUGCCACACCAGGCUUCUUUUCUCUGUGCUUCAGUAAAGAGGGGGAGGGGCUGGUAUAACUGAGGACUAAGGCUUUUAUGCUUCCCAGGGACAGAUGCCACAGACACCCUAUGGGGACACUGUCAGUCUUAUUUUACAGAUGGGGAAACUGAGGCACACAAGGGAAAUACCCUGCCCAGAGUCAUUUGACCUCAAGGGUCUUGGCCCCCAAGCACUCACUGAUGGGGGGCGGGGGUGUCUCAUCUAACUUUGCAAACUGAAGAGUGAAAUCCAGACACGGUCACGCUAUGUGAGAGGUGGUGGGCACACAGAUACUGCUCUGCAAACUGCUAAAACGUGGUCUGCUGGGAGCACAGCAGUUUGGGGAAGAGGCCUUGGGGAGACAUCGCUCCAGCAGGUAGGGUCCAGCCCUGGGCUAAGAUGUGUGCCCCAGACUCAGUCCUGUGAAUGGAAAAUACACAGCCCAGGCAGCUAGUCUGCCGGCACCUUGGUUCCUGCCUUUCUAAGAAUUUGUACAUUUUCCCAUAGCUCAGUGUCACCAUGUUAUCUAUGUGGCGUCUUUGGCCCUGUAAUCAGGAGUGAGUUGUGGCCUCCUCUCAGCUGCUCACUGGGGUCUAUCGACUCAUCUGCUCUCAUUAUUUAGCUAGUAAUUCUUCCCAUGGGCUUCCAUUGAUUUCCAGAAAGAAGUAUUUCGCCAUGUAACGAGAUCCUGCCUCGGGUGAAUGAAAGUCAUGUUAGCACAGUGCUCUCUCUCUCUCUCUCUCUCUCUCUCUCUCUCUCUCUCUCUCUCUCUCUCUCUUUCCGAUUUAAUUAUAAAAACAGCAUCACUUCAAUACCAGGAACACUUGUGUGCGAUCCUAUGGAUGGUGGCUUUGUGUCUUGCCUUUAAGCAAGCCUUACCUCAUGUGCGUGAGUGUGUAUGUGUGUGUGUGCAUGUUUGUGUAUUCGUGCACGUGAAGGUUGGAGGUCAGCUUCAGAAACCUCAGGACCUUCUCACCUUGUUUUUCUGAGGCAGGACCUCUCAUUAAAUCUGAAACUCCCCAGAUAAGCUAGACUGGUUGGUCAACAAGUCCCAGGGACCAUUCUGUCUCCACCUCUACAGUACUAGGAUUGCAGGGAGACAGCAUGCAAUCCAAGGAUCUCGAACCUGGCUGGAAUGAAACGUUCUGCAGGGCUCUGCCCAGAACAGCCAAGGUAUUAUAGCUCUCGGAGGGGAAGCCAGGUUGGGCAGGCAGCCGAUCUCUCCAGCUACCACUGCCUCUACCAUUGCUGCCCCCUGCUAUGACAGCAGUAGCAUCUAUGGUGGCAGGCAGACAGAAGUGGUACCUAGAGCCACUAAGCGAGUGGCUGGAUGUGGUGGCAACCAGCAGCAAAGGGCAUCUGGUAGCCACAAUGGCAAGCUGCAGCGAGAGAGAGCUCCAGUCCGGCCUGCUGGGCAGAGCCAAGGUUCAAUGACAAAUGCUUCCUCAGAGUGUUACAGCUCAAUAAAACAGCCACCCUCA